rnacentral:rRNA from 1 species
GAUGAACGCUGGCGGCGUGCCUAAUACAUGCAAGUCGAGCGAACAGACGAGGAGCUUGCUCCUUUGACGUUAGCGGCGGACGGGUGAGUAACACGUAGGUAACCUACCUAUAAGACUGGGAUAACUUCGGGAAACCGGAGCUAAUACCGGAUAAUAUUUCGAACCGCAUGGUUCGAUAGUGAAAGAUGGCUUUGCUAUCACUUAUAGAUGGACCUGCGCCGUAUUAGCUAGUUGGUAAGGUAACGGCUUACCAAGGCAACGAUACGUAGCCGACCUGAGAGUGGGAUCGGCCACACUGGAACUGAGACACGGUCCAGACUCCUACGGGAGGCAGCAGUAGGGAAUCUUCCGCAAUGGGCGAAAGCCUGACGGAGCAACGCCGCGUGAGUGAUGAAGGUCUUCGGAUCGUAAAACUCUGUUAUUAGGGAAGAACAAACGUGUAAGUAACUGUGCACGUCUUGACGGUACCUAAUCAGAAAGCCACGGCUAACUACGUG